AUUGAACGCUGGCGGCAGGCCUAACACAUGCGAGUCGAGCGGAUGAAGGGAGCUUGCUCCUGGAUUCAGCGGCGGACGGGUGAGUAAUGCCUAGGAAUCUGCCUGGUAGUGGGGGAUAACGUCCGGAAACGGGCGCUAAUACCGCAUACGUCCUGAGGGAGAAAGUGGGGGAUCUUCGGACCUCACGCUAUCAGAUGAGCCUAGGUCGGAUUAGCUAGUUGGUGGGGUAAAGGCCUACCAAGGCGACGAUCCGUAACUGGUCUGAGAGGAUGAUCAGUCACACGGGAAGUGAGACACGGUCAAGACUCCUACGGGAGGCAGCAGUGGGGAAUAUUGGACAAUGGGCGAAAGCCUGAUCCAGCCAUGCCGCGUGUGUGAAGAAGGUCUUCGGAUUGUAAAGCACUUUAAGUUGGGAGGAAGGGCAGUAAGUUAAUACCUUGCUGUUUUGACGUUACCAACAGAAUAAGCACCGGCUAACUUCGUG
rnacentral:rRNA from 1 species